rnacentral:rRNA from 1 species
CCUACGGGGGGCAGCAGUGGGGAAUAUUGCGCAAUGGGCGAAAGCCUGACGCAGCGACGCCGCGUGAGGGAUGAAGGUCUUCGGAUCGUAAACCUCUGUCAGCAGGGAAGAACGGUCACUGUGCUAAUCAGCAGUGAAUUGACGGUACCUGCAAAGGAAGCACCGGCUAACUCCGUGCCAGCAGCCGCGGUAAUACGGAGGGUGCGAGCGUUAAUCGGAAUUACUGGGCUGAAAGCUCUCGUAGGCGGUAUGGCAAGUCAAGGGUGAGAUCCCCGGGCUCAAAGAUGGAACUGCCGUUGAAACUGGCAAACUGGAGUGUGUGAGAGGAAGGUGGAAUUCCUGGUGUAGGAGUGAAAUGCGUAGAUAUCUGGAGGAACAUC